rnacentral:lncRNA from 1 species
GCUGUCUGAAGACAGGACAAAGCAUUUUUCUUUUCUUUUUUUUUUAAGCUUUUCUCUUCUUUAUUCAAAAUUAUUUCAUACAUAUAGAAAGAGUAAGACACCUAUAUAAAACAUACAGACCUUAUUUUAAAAGUCUCAUUCCCCCUUCCAGCUUCUGGAUAGUGUUCUUUUUUUCCAUUUUUUAUUAGGUAUUUAGCUCAUUUACAUUUCCAAUGCUAUACCAAAAGUCCCCCAUACCCACCAACCCCCACUCCCCUACCCACCCACUCCCCCUUUUUGGCCCUGGCGUUCCCCUGUACUGGGGCAUAUAAAGUUUGUGUGUCCAAUGGGCCUCUCUUUCCAGUGAUGGCCGACUAGGCCAUCUUUUGAUACAUAUGCAGCUAAAGACAAGAGCUCCCGGGUACUGGUUAGUUCAUAAUGUUAGAACAAAGCAUUUUUCUGUCUUGUCUUCAGAUGUAAAAGGUGGACUCUGGAAUUUGAAGUCUACACAGCCCUAUAAAUCCCGCCUGUGUGACCGGCUGUGCCUCACAUGGCCUUAUGUGGUGGGUUGUUUUUUAGUUCCACCCAGAGCCUGCUCAGAUAGAACUGCAGAUCUCCCAUGCACCGGCACGCCCACCCGAACACCAGGCGAGUGACUCAGAUGCACUGUCCUCUCUAGGAACCCCCAGAGGCUGACACUGAGUUGCUGAGGCAAAACUGUGACAAGGAGUACGCAAGGAAUCACCUCCAUAGCUGGUGUAUGAUUGCAAUGCCUCAUGGGAUCUGUGCAGAGGGCUUCCAACAAAUGAGUGCUAAUGAGUGAACAGAGCUUGGGAUUUUCUUGUCUGUUCCAAAGAGUCAGAUUUUUUUUUUCUUGGAAAGAGAGUGAAUGCUUGCCUAUAAUCUUCUUGGUCCAUUUGACAAGCACAGUAAUCUGCCCCCUAUAAACACUGGGAGAUUCCCCCAGUGCAGUGUUUAAAUUUGUGUACAUUUAAGGAGAUUGGAGGGAUGGCUUUGCAUUUAAGAGCACUUGCUGCUUCUUAUCAAGGACCUGGGUUCAAUUCCCAGAACCCACGUGGUAGCUCCCAGCCAUCUAUAGUUCUGCUCCAUUGGGUCUGACGCCCUCUUCUGGCCUCUGCAGGCAUUGCACGAGAGUGGUUCACAAACAGCGUAAGCAAAAUACAUAGAAUAAAAAUAAAAAGGUGUGAAUUCAUCUAGGCUACAGUGCGUAUCUGUUUGAUCAGACACCCAUUAUGAUGCCCUUGUAAAGGACUUUUUAGAUAUAAUAAGCUCAGCAGUGAACUGUGAAUAUAGCAACUCCUACUUCAUAACUACAGUGUUUGAAAGCCUUGCCAACCCUCUCUCUCCUGAGUACAGGAACGGUGUUUUUGUUGUUGUUGUUUUUGGUUUUGGUUUGUUUUUUCCUUAAGUCAGUCUGUGUAUGUGUCCAUCCUGUUGUUGCAUUUCCCUGAGAAAUUUAGCUAAUGCUCUUUGGAACCCAGGAUUCACUUCUCUGUGCCCAAGUCUUACCCUGACAGUUGUCAUGCUCAUGGGGGGAGUCCAGGAGCGACUUUGUCUUUUCCAGCCUCAGUCUUGAGCAGACUGGCUUGAGAGUAGCCUUCCUCUGUAGCUAUGGGGCUGGUGGUCACUCUCUGUCACCACACAGAACUCAGAAAAGGCUGCUUUGUCGCUGUUGACAGGAACUUCCUGUCUGUUUUCUCACACGAGGCCAGGUGCUCAGCCAUGGGGAGAAGGGACAGCCAUUGCCCUUCGGAGCAGCGUAAACACGAUGUCCUUGCUUGCACAUGACGGGGCUCGUGCUGUUCUCUGACCUCUCGUAAAGCUUCUGACACUCGGCGUUCCUUUGCUCUCAACUUAUAUUUAGGACUGAGUUGAUCCUUAUAUUUUAACUGCCUUCCUGGCCAGAGAAGCCAGCUUAGGAGGAGUCCGAGCAGGGCCACUGUACUUUGACAUUUUUAGUAUGGCUUGUGAUUUUUGUCUCAUG